UGGGGAAUUUUGGACAAUGGGCGAAAGCCUGAUCCAGCAAUGCCGCGUGUGUGAAGAAGGCCUUCGGGUUGUAAAGCACUUUUGUCCGGAAAGAAAUCCUCUGGGUUAAUACCUCGGGGGGAUGACGGUACCGGAAGAAUAAGCACCGGCUAACUACGUGCCAGCAGCCGCGGUAAUACGUAGGGUGCAAGCGUUAAUCGGAAUUACUGGGCGUAAAGCGUGCGCAGGCGGUUUUGUAAGACGGAUGUGAAAUCCCCGGGCUUAACCUGGGAACUGCAUUCGUGACUGCAAGGCUAGAGUAUGGCAGAGGGGGGUAGAAUUCCACGUGUAGCAGUGAAAUGCGUAGAGAUGUGGAGGAAUACCGAUGGCGAAGGCAGCCCCCUGGGCCAAAUACUGACGCUCAUGCACGAAAGCGUGGGGAGCAAACAGGAUUAGGAUACCCUGGUAGUCCACGCCCUAAACGAUGUCAACUAGUUGUUGGGGAUUCAUUUCCUUAGUAACGUAGCUAACGCGUGAAGUUGACCGCCUGGGGGAGUACGGUCGCAAGAUUAAAACUCAAAGGAAUUGACGGGG
rnacentral:rRNA from 1 species